UUCUUUUUUUUUUUUUUAACAUAUUCCAGGUUAGUGACUGCCCAGGAUCACAGUCUGAGAGGUUGCUUUGAAUUAGCAGGGAACCUAUGGCAUCAAGAUGUAGGCUGUGCUAGUUGUAAAGGUUUUGCUUGGGCCAGGACUGUACCUGUCCUUUAGCAGUCUGCGCCUUGACUGCAGCCUGUAACUACAACAUCCAUUUCUGAAGCAGCAGUGAGCCUCCAACAUGAAUGGAUGCUCCUUCUGGAAGGGAGCAUGCCGUGUGGGUGGCCCCCCAUGCCUGUCUGCAGCCCUGCAGCUCCUUGCCUCUUCCCAGGCCUCAAGAGGCCCCAUGGCUAAAGCAGCUUGCAAGAGGAGGAUCUCAACUCUAGGUGGUUCAGGAUACAAGUUUUGGAAGUGGCUAAGCUUCCUUUUUAGAAAUGCUAUUAAAACUUUUGGAAAGCAAGGAGUGGUUCUGAUGCUGUGCUUGGCUUUGUUAUGUUGGUUUGGGGCUUGGUUGGCUGGCUUGGUUUAGUUUAAGGACCUUAUACUGUUUUCCCUUUUAUUCUGGUGGAAGCGAAUACCAAAGAUACCAUUGAUCUCAGUAAGAAAAAGAUAUGGGAUGCAGUUUUGAAUGAACUUUUGUCAUUAAGGACUUUGUUUCUGAGAGUGAUCUGAAUGUAUGAAACCACAGACUUUCACUGACUUUUCGUUGUAAUUAUUUCUGGAACUCUUAGGUAGCAUGAUGCUGCUCAGUCAGUUUCAGUUUCAGGUAGGCCUGCACAAGAACUAAAGCCUGGAUUUGAAAUAAAAUCUAGGAAAAUCAGUGAAAAUGUGUCAAGUGUUAAAGCCUCCUGAACGCUGUGGAACUACAGUUAAAUCAAGUGGGAUGCUUACAAAGAGCAGCAGUUCAGCAAUUAAGCAGUGCUGACUCCUUUCUGCUCUCCAAAUU
ensembl:lncRNA